rnacentral:misc_RNA from 1 species
AUGCAUAAUGCCAUUGCCAAACAAGCCUAUUAUUAUUUACAGGCUUUCAAAAAUAUUUUCUAGUCCUGUCAAACACACCCACACGCGAAAAAUUCAAAACAACUGGUAUAAUUCCAACUGGCUAUUUCAAUUAUCAUUUUCCAACAUGGGCCCCACCACCCACUCCUUUGUAUACUUUUUUCUUCGGUCUUCCUUUCCUUUAUUACCCAUCACCUCCUCCCAUGGAAAUUUUCAAACUCAUCUCAUCCGUCCGAUUGUAACUGCUCUUUGACUUCCAGCCCCUCUUUCUCUCUCCCCUCUCACCCGGUCAUCCGGUCACUCCUUCCCCUAUAUCUCCCCCCUCUUGUUCCCUUCUCCUCCCUACUUUCCUCUUCCUCGCAUACCUAAAACCUUCUGCGUUUUAGGCUUUCAUGGCUUGUUGAAGCUGCUGUUUUCUUUUGCUUUGGAUUUUACUUUCUGUUUUGCUUCGAGUCCUCAAAAAUGGCAGUCGAGCUUAUGAGCUUUACAAAAAUGGAAGAUCAGAUGGCUAUACAAGAGGCUGCAUCACAAGGCUUGAAGAGUAUGGAGCACUUCAUCCGUCUCAUGUCUCACCAAUCUAACCAUCACGUGGAUUGCACGGACCUCACAGACCUCACCGUCUCCAAGUUCAAAAAAGUCAUCUCUCUUCUCAAUCGGACCGGUCAUGCCCGAUUCAGACGCGGACCGGUUCAGUCUUCCUCUUCUUCACUUUCCUUGUCAUCCGCACCGACUGGGUCAGCCUCUCGCUCCCAAAAUUUAAACCAAACGCCGAGUCAUGUUACGGCUCCGGCUACUGUACACCAGGCACCUGUCGUCCAUUCGGUUACAGCUCCUCAGGUUCCGAUCGCGGCACCGACAAGCUUUGUUCAGUCACAGCCGCAGAGUUUGACUCUGGACUUCACAAAACCUAGCAUAUUUAGCUCUAAUGGUAGAAACUCAGAGCUUGAGUUCACAAAAGAAAGUUUUAGCGUGUCAUCUAGUUCAUCUUUCAUGUCCUCGGCUAUAACUGGAGACGGUAGCGUUUCAAAUGGGAAGCAAGGAUCAUCGAUUUUCUUGGCACCUGCAGUCUCCGGCGGCAAGCCCCCGCUUUCAUCUGGGCCGUACAACAAGAAGCGGUGCCACGAGCACGAUCAAUCCGAUGAUAUGUCUGGAAAGUUCUCGGGAUCUGCCAGCGGCAAGUGCCAUUGCUCCAAGAGAAGGUAUGUGGUUAUCUUUGAUUACGGCGAAUUUUUGCAUUGUCCUUUGUGCGUUUUAGCUUUUGAGUGGCUCUAAGUUGGUUGAGUCUUAAUAGCGCGAUACUAGUACUAUUGACAUAAACCAGACGUAGUGGGGUAUAACUGGGAUAAACUAGGUCGAGUUGGAUGCGAGUAAUUCGAGUUAACUCUGAUUUGCAUCAGUGAAACGAGUUGGGGUUGGGGUCAAAGGUUUGUGUCGUUGAGCUGUUUGGCUAUUUUAGUGGACACAGCGCGCGUGAUAGUGACUUGAGAUGAUGAUCCUUCUCAACUUGGAAUAGGUGAAAUUAAUCAAAAUGGUCGAACUUGGGUGUUGUAUUGUUUUUGUCGUUAUACGUGGUUGCUUGGUAGACAUGGUCUCUUAACUUUGACCGCUGACAAGUCGGCGCACUAUAGCAACAUAUGCGCAUGAUAGGGGAAUGGCAAUAAUAAUAAUAAUAAUAGUAGUGUCAGUAAAUAAUUAUGAAAAUAAUUAUUUGAUCGAGGAAUAAUUAUAUUUGUUUAUUCAAUUUUUUUAGGAAAAAUCGGGUGAAGAAAACAAUUAGAGUACCAGCGAUUAGUGCGAAAAUCGCCGAUAUCCCACCAGACGAGUACUCCUGGAGAAAGUACGGUCAAAAGCCAAUCAAGGGGUCACCAUACCCACGGUAACUACAAUGAUCAUUCAUUUACAACCAUUGAGCUUGUCGUUCGAUUAAAUCAGGCAGCAAGUUGACUCUUUGUCUUGUUUGUUUCAGGGGAUAUUACAAGUGUAGUACUUUUAGAGGGUGCCCUGCCAGGAAGCACGUAGAACGGGCCAACGACGAUCCGACGAUGCUGAUUGUGACAUAUGAGGGGGAGCACCGCCACGCUCAACCUGCGAUGCAGGAUAACUUGAGCGGUGGUGUAGGGCUAGUGUUCGAGUCAACGUGAAAGAGAGAAACGUAGAGGACGGAGUAAUAAACAAAUAGUAUAGAAAAAGACGAGUUAGACUUGGAGUAAUAUCGAGGUGGGUGGGAUUGGAUUGUAUAUUUUCUGUAUCGGAAGCCAAAGCCAUGUUCAAAGUUAAUUAAAAAAAAUUCUAAUUAUUUGUAAAAACUUCGUUAUUUUUUUU